CCAACUCGCGACCAUACGAAUAACGCCAGCGAACUGUUUUAGUGCUGAUCGGCCAAAAAGAACGCUACGGAUGUUUACACAGCAAGUCGAAGGUAACAGGUUUUGGAGCGACGUGGGCGAGCUGGCAAUAAACAUCGGCACGGCUCGUGGGGUUAGAAACUACGCGAUAGCUACUAAACCGCAUACUACUACUGAGAGAGCGUUGGAUGCAAGACUUUGCGCGAUUGGAGCGGCCGAGACAGCCAGGUAGGGUGGAAGAGAGGUCACCAAGCAGACUAUUGUAGCUGGUUGAGAGGACAACACCUACACUGGGACUGAAACACGGCUCAACUUCUACGGGAGGCAGCAGUGGGGAAUCUUGGACAAUGGGCGCAAGCCUUGAUUCCACCCUGCCCGCGUGCAAGAUGAAGGCCUUUCGGGUUUGUAAACUGCUUUUUGUACAGAACAAAAAUUCUCUUUUCUAAUAAAGAGGGGAUCAUGACCGGUACCGUAAAAAUAAGCACCGUCUAACUACGUGCCAGCAGCCGCGGUAAUUACGGUAGGGGGUGCAAGCGUUAAUCGGAAUUACUGGGGCGUAAAGCGUGCGCAGGGCGGUGUAAUUUAAAAACAGUUGUUAAACUCCCCCGGGCUUCAACCUGGGAACUGCAUCUGUGACUGCAUCCGCUGGAGUGCGGAAAAAGGGGGAAAUGGAAUUUCCCCGUGUGUACCAUUUGAAUUGGCUUAAAUUUGCGCGGAAGGCACCCCGGUGGGGGCAAAGGCCAUUCCCCGUGGGGCCUGCACUGGACGCUCAUGAACGAAAGGCGUGGGGGGAGCAAAACAAGGAUUAGAUACCCCUGAUAGUCCCACGCCCUAACGAUGUCCACACUGUGGUUUGUUGGGGUCUCUUCCUGACUCAGUAACGAGCUAACGCGUGAGUCGACCGCCUGGGAGAGUACCGGCCGCGUGGUUCGCAUACUUCAAUUGGAUGUGACGAGCACCGCCAAGACUGUGUGAGAUGAAAAUAGUAUGUGUAUUUAUACUACUA
rnacentral:rRNA from 1 species